rnacentral:rRNA from 1 species
AUACGGAGGAUCCGAGCGUUAUCCGGAUUUAUUGGGUUUAAAGGGUGCGCAGGCGGCCAUUUAAGUCAGCGGUUAAAUCGUGGGGCUCAACCCCAUUCUGCCGUUGAUACUGGGUGGCUUGAUUGCGGUCGAGGUUGGCGGAAUUCGUUGUGUAGCGGGGAAAUGCAUAGAUAUGACGAAGAACACCGAUUGCGUAGGCAGCUGGCCAGACCGCAAAUGACGCUCAUGCACGAAAGUGCGGGGAUCGAACAGGAUUAGAUACCCUGGUAGUCCGCACAGUAAACGAUGAAUACUUGUUUUCGGCGAUAUAAUGUCGGAGGCAAAGCGAAAGCGAUAAGUAUUCCACCUGGGGAGUACGCCGGCAACGGUGAAACUCAAAUGAAUUGGCGGGG